GUUUCGGAGCAUCCUUCUAGAAGCGCAAUAUUUGAGCGGGACGCGAGCAUCUCAGGCACGAUAAUCUUCUGUUCCUGAUGUAUUGUAACAUAGUUGCUAUCAGUCCAGAUGGUUUUUUUUUUUUUUCCAGGGGAAUGUUGGUCUGGAAGAUGCCAUCUGAGAAAUUGGUCUAACAGAAUUGAGCUUGCAGACAACUGACAGAUCUCCUACAUCUUACUGACCUGUGAAUCAUUUAGCAACCAACAUGAACAGAAAGCAGGAUGCUCCCAGAGUGCAAUGUAUUGAAAAAUAUCUGGAAAAAGUAAUAGAACAACUGUAUUAUUUUCACUUUAUAAUCAAAUUAUUUUCUAGGCUAAGGCAAGAACCUUUUCAGUGUUUCACAGCUUCUGCACGAGUUGGUUAAGAAGUUAACUGAUAAGUGAAGAAUGUCCAAGUGGUCAGCAUGCAAAUCUGACCAGAGGAAUGCCAAGUCAUGCUAAAGUGGUCAGCCUGCAAAUUUUUGCCAGAGGAAUGCCAGUCAUGCUAAAGAGUGACAUUCUUGUAUCCUAAACUAUCUUGACUGGGUGUCUGUGCGUGAAAUAUUUUAAAGCAACUGAAAAUCUGUAAUGCACUUAUUUGCUAUACAAGCAGCAAUAAAAUGCACUGGAAUGUUA